CCAAGUCAGGUGGCCAAGCACCCACGGGCUAUGCCGACGCUGCACAGCCUGUUCUGUUGGUGCCCAGGACAGGACGGUUGUGGGAGGCAGAGGUGGGUGAACCCUGUCCAGACCUGCUGUCCCUGGCAGUGUCCUGUGCACCUGGAGGUGCCUACCAGCCUGCCCUCACAGGGACCUGGAGAGGUGACCCACUCUUCGGGCAUCUUGAAAGGAGAUUUGCUUUUGUUCCCAUCUGCACUGUGGUUUGAAGUCUAGAAGACACUGAGAGACAAGCUAAGUGUAAGUGAAGCUUUGUUUUUCCUAUGCAGAAAGAACCAGUUGACUGGGGCAUGAUGAACUGAGAAGGUGAUGUGUUCCUUGGCUCAAAGGCCACAGAGAGGGG
rnacentral:lncRNA from 1 species